rnacentral:rRNA from 1 species
AGAGUUUGAUCCUGGCUCAGGAUGAACGCUGGCGGCGUGCUUAACACAUGCAAGUCGAACGAAGCAAUAGGAAGGAAGUUUUCGGAUGGAAUUCAUAUUGACUGAGUGGCGGACGGGUGAGUAACGCGUGGGUAACCUGCCUCAUACAGGGGGAUAACAGUUAGAAAUGACUGCUAAUACCGCAUAAGCGCACAGAAUCGCAUGAUAAUGUGUGAAAAACUCCGGUGGUAUGAGAUGGACCCGCGUCUGAUUAGCUAGUUGGUGGGGUAAAGGCCUACCAAGGCGACGAUCAGUAGCCGACCUGAGAGGGUGAUCGGCCACAUUGGGACUGAGACACGGCCCAAACUCCUACGGGAGGCAGCAGUGGGGAAUAUUGCACAAUGGGGGAAACCCUGAUGCAGCAACGCCGCGUGAGUGAAGAAGUAUUUCGAUAUGUAAAGCUCUAUCAGCAGGGAAGAAGAUGACGGUACCUGAGUAAGAAGCCCCGGCUAACUACGUGCCAGCAGCCGCGGUAAUACGUAGGGGGCAAGCGUUAUCCGGAUUUACUGGGUGUAAAGGGAGCGUAGACGGCAUAGCAAGUCUGAAGUGAAAGCCCAAGGCUCAACCAUGGGACUGCUUUGGAAACUGUUAAGCUAGAGUGCUGGAGAGGUAAGCGGAAUUCCUAGAGUAGCGGUGAAAUGCGUAGAUAUUAGGAAGAACACCAGUGGCGAAGGCGGCUUACUGGACAGUAACUGACGUUGAGGCUCGAAAGCGUGGGGAGCAAACAGGAUUAGAUACCCUGGUAGUCCACGCUGUAAACGA